GCAACUGAGAAAUCAGGACAUCUUUCUCUACAGGCAAGAAGAGGAAAAUAAUACAUGAGUGACAGAAGAUUAAGUACAGUACUGAGCUUUGCCAAGUAGACCAGCUACUGGAAAAAAGCAACAACCAGACAAUUUGGAGUAAAGGAAAUGGAAGAAAAGGAAGCCUUGGGAGACCCUGAGAAGAGGAUCAAGCUAAUCUGUGCAAAAAUUCUUGACCCACAAAAACCAAGAUAAUAAAUGUGUGAUGUUUUAAGCCA